rnacentral:rRNA from 1 species
GGGAAACGGGAGCUACACAUGCAGUCGAGGGGUAGGGGGUGCUUGCACCCCUGAGACCGGCGCACGGGUGCGGAACGCGUAUGGAACCUGCCCCUGUCAGGGGAAUAGCCCAGGGAAACUUGGAUUAAUGCCCCAUGGUAUCAUUACAUCGCAUGAUGUUGUGAUUAAAGAUUUAUCGGACAGGGAUGGCCAUGCGUACCAUUAGCUUGAUGGUGGGGUAACGGCCCACCAUGGCAACGAUGGUUAGGGGCCCUGAGAGGGGGAUCCCCCACACUGGUACUGAGACACGGACCAGACUCCUACGGGAGGCAGCAGUGAGGAAUAUUGGACAAUGGUCGGAAGACUGAUCCAGCCAUGCCGCGUGCAGGAUGACGGCCCUAUGGGUUGUAAACUGCUUUUAUACGGGAAGAAACCCACCUACGUGUAGGUGGCUGACGGUACCGUAAGAAUAAGGACCGGCUAACUCCGUGCCAGCAGCCGCGGUAAUACGGAGGGUCCGAGCGUUAUCCGGAAUCAUUGGGUUUAAAGGGUCCGUAGGCGGGCCUGUAAGUCAGGGGUGAAAGUUUGUGGCUCAACCAUAAAAUUGCCUUUGAUACUGCAGGUCUUGAGUCAUGGUGGGGUUGCCGGAACAUGUGGUGUAGCGGUGAAAUGCAUAGAUAUCACAUAGAACACCGAUCGCGAAGGCAGGUGACCAACCAUGUACUGACGCU